UUUCCUAAGCCUGAUGACGAAUUACAACGCCUGUAUACAAGCGCUUUCUUUGAGAGAGGAUCUAUGUGAACCAUAUUUUAUCUUGAAUUUGUUUAUAGCCAUGGGAGAGUAAGUUACCAAAUGCAAGGAAGGAGGAAGAAAACCAUCCCACUUUCAAGAAAGAACUGAAAUGUUAUUUCAACUCCCUUGAAGGACUGAACAUGUUGCAUAUUGUUAUACGCGUGCAUUCAAAAUGCGUAAAUAAGCAGUACGCAUGGGAAAGAGAGAGAAAACGUUUGCUAUACUACGCAUUCAAAAUGCGUAAAUAAGCAGUACGCAUGGGAAAGAGAGAGAAAACGUUUGCUAUACUACGCAUUCAAAAUGCGUAAUGAAACAGUACGCAUAGGAAAAAAGAAAACGCGUUUCUUUUGUUACGCAUUCAAAAUGCGUAAUGAAUCAGUACGUAUUGGGGAAAAAAAGAACACAUUCAUUGUGUACGCAUUCUGAAGGCAUCGGAAAAGGACUACCAGUGCUGACAGGCACAACAUACGGUAUAGCAAGUCAAUGAUGUGUAGCAUUAUGAAAAUGAUUGAUCCAACAGCUUGCAGUAGGCCUAAACCACCCAUCAGGUAUUCUGUUGCUUUACAUAAGGUGGCGCUUAUCAUCCAGCGCGCGUCAGUUCACAUGAUGCCUGCCUUACAAAGGCAAAGACAAGUAGCAUAACUAAACUAACAUUGAAUCUCAGAGAGAGAGAGAGAGAGAGAGAGAGAGAGAGAGAGAGAGAGAGAGAGAGAGAGAGAGAGAGACUAUUCAUAUCUGAAACUGGACACAUUUGGAACUUGGCUUCAUCACAAGACUUUUUCUUAUUUCUUGGAGUGUUGACGCAGGACCUGGGAGGACUUCAGAGGGGCCCCAGCAUACCAGUUUGAUACCACACCAGUGGUGCCUUCUCCAAGCUUCCAUCGCCCCCGAUGUCAUCAUCCUCAUCGUCGUCUCCACCUCUUCAGCUUUUUCUUUUUUUUUAAAAGAACCCCCACCCCUUAAUUCACUAAAACAGCGCUACAUUGUUUACAAGCUGUCCCCAAUAUACUGUAUAUUACUGAAGUAAUAUCUUAAUUCAAUUACAACACAGUGGUAAACACACAAGUUAUCAGUCAUACAUAUCUCCUCCACUGUUCAGAUUCAAAGCAUUCUCCUAUGGUUGUCGAUUCAAUGUGCCAUGAACCUUCCAUUUCCUCUUCACUAAUGCGUUAAAGGCCACAGUAUGAAUGUAACAUGUACCAUGGGGAGCAUUCCAAUAUGCAGACUUCCUUGCUCACUUGCCCGCUUGUGACCUUACGUAUGAUGAAGUCAAAGACGACAGAAAAUGUAUUCAAUGUCUUGCAAAAUGCACAAUUCUAAUGUAAUUUCAUCGUUUGGAAUUGGGAUGGUGAAUGAAGAACAGUCGUCCCCCCCCCCCAAAAAAAUGUUGUGGCUACGCUGACGGCAGGAAAGCCUUGUUUUCUCUACGGAGACAGGGCGUCAGCAAAACACGAGGCCACAAGCACAAGUGGAGGAUGGAAGUCUGCAUGUUAGAAUACACUCCUAGUCUGAAUUGGCCUGAGGUGAUGUCAGAGGGAGAAAGUUUGUUCGUACCGAGUUUGUUGGUGAUGAAGGAGUGAUGCUUUUGCUCUGCAGCGGGCAUGCACAUUUUGCCAGUUUGAUGCAUUCUGGUAAUCAGUGCACAUGCACGCUGCAUAGCACAAGCACCACUGCAUCAUCACGAAAGAACCCACCGUCUGGGUGACAAAACAAGUGGAAUGGAGUGCUGUGAUCUGAGGACUAAAUUUCAGUUCACUUUCUCUCUGCUGAAAAAGCACAAGCAAGGGUAGCAAGGCAGCUAUCACCUAAAGCCACCAGACUUUGUACACCGCAUACAUGCAUUGUGUGAUGUAAUAAAAGGACCCACGCCA